AACGAACGUUGGCGGCGUGGAUUAGGCAUGCAAGUCGAACGCGAAUCCCUGGGCAACUGGGGAGGAGAGUGGCGAAAGGGGCAGUAAGGCGUGGGUAACCUACCCUCCGGGCCGGGAUAGCUUCGGGAAACUGAAGGUAAUACCGGGCGACGCAGCGAGAUCGCCUGGUCUUGCUGCCAAAGGUCCGCCGCCGGGGGAGGGGCUCACGUGGUAUUAGCUAGACGGCGGGGUAACGGCCCACCGUGGCAAAGAUGCCUAGCAGGUGUGAGAGCACGACCUGCGCCACUGGCACUGAGACACUGGCCAGACACCUACGGGUGGCUGCAAGGGAGGAUCUUCGGCAAUGGGCGCAAGCCUGACCGAGCGACGCCGCGUGUGCGAUGAAGGCCUUCGGGUUGUAAAGCACUGUCGAGGGGGAGGAAGCCGCAAGGUUGACCUAUCCCUGGAGGAAGCACGGGCUAAGUUCGUG
rnacentral:rRNA from 1 species